rnacentral:misc_RNA from 1 species
UCUCCGUAGGUGAACCUGCGGAGGGAUCAUUACAGAGUUCUCGCCCUCACGGGUAGUUCUCCCACCCACUGUUAUCGUUACUGUCGUUUCUUUGGCGGUCCUCCGGAUCCCCGGCCGCCGGCGCCUAGCUGCCGGCGCGCGCCCGGCAGAGGCCUUCAAACUCUGAAUGUUAGUGUCGUCUGAGUACUAUAUAAUAGUUAAAACUUUCAACAACGGAUCUCUUGGUUCUG